GGGAGGCAGCAGUGGGGAAUAUUGGGCAAUGGGCGCAAGCCUGACCCAGCAACGCCGCGUGAGGGAAGAAGGCUUUCGGGUUGUAAACCUCUGUCCUUGGUGACGAAAAAAAUGACGGUAGCCAAGGAGGAAGCCCCGGCUAACUACGUGCCAGCAGCCGCGGUAAUACGUAGGGGGCGAGCGUUGUCCGGAAUUACUGGGCGUAAAGGGUGCGUAGGUGGCCUUUUAAGUUGGAUGUGAAAUACCCGGGCUUAACUUGGGGGGUGCAUCUAAUACUGGAGGGCUAGAGUGCAGGAGAGGAAAGCGGAAUUCCUAGUGUAGCGGUGAAAUGCGUAGAUAUUAGGAGGAACACCAGUGGCGAAGGCGGCUUUCUGGACUGUAACUGACACUGAGGCACGAAAGCGUGGGGAGCAAACAGGAUUAGAUACCCCGGUAGU
rnacentral:rRNA from 1 species